ensembl:lncRNA
CUGGAGGAGGGAUGCUAAGAAAGAGGUCAGCUCCGCCCCCCGCCCCACCCCAGGCUGCUGCCCCUGCACAGGCAGUGGGAAGGACCGGUCCGUCCUGAGAUGCCCUCUGCGAUGGAAGGCUCUGGAUGGCUGCAUCACAAGGACUAAGGUUGGAGAGAUGCCGCCUGGACCAGGAGGAAAUGAGUGAGCCAGAGAAGCAUCCUCAACUUUCCGAUCACCAUGGUGACCCCUGUUUAUUGAAUACAUGCCACUGGCCAGGCACUGUUCUCAGCCCCUUAGAAACUCUGACAUUUUUCAUCCUGGCUACAACCCCACUUAGUUGGGACUAUUGUUAUCUCCAUUCUGCGGAGAAGAAAACUAAAGUUCCAAGAGGUUAAGUCACUCAGACAGAAGACUGAAGACCUCAAGCAGACCCUGAAGCCAGGCUCCCCAUCACUUCCUUCCAUUGCCCUUCAGCCUCUGAUAGUAGAAGCAGAAGAGGCCAGAUACCAGAGCUUACAAGAUGGGACGGGAAGGAAGGAGUAGAUUUUAUAGAUCCUCCAGGAGGGUUAAAAAAAAAAAAAUGCUAGCAGGGCUUGGUUUAUGUGUGAUUAGUGUCCCAUAUAACUAAUUACACUGGGACAAGAAGGGGAAGCCAGACAAGUCUGGGCCACCCCCCCCAGAUGGAGAGGAAUGACCAGAGACCUUAGCAGCCCAAUGCCUGUGACACAGCAAAAAGAGAAAUUGCAGGUGGUUGAGAUGGUCAACUUGAGUGCAGGUCACAUCUGCACACCUGAUCAGGGUACUAAUGACCCCACUCAGAUGUCAUAGAAGCAAACCUGGGGUCUCCAAUCACCUGACCCCAAAGCCUUUUGACCAGUGUAUCAAUUAGAGGCAGCCAGAGCAAUGGAGCCUAUAGUAGGAGAUACAGAUUUAUUGUAAGGCAACAGCCUACAUGGUUUUGAGGGCUGCUGGCUGGGCAAAGUUGAAAUAUACUGGUCCACUGGGCCAGACUAUCAUCCCCUGCUUUUCAAUGAAACCUACAUCCAGAGGUUGCAGAAAAACCUGCUGGGAAGGUAUUUUAAUAGAAGUGAUCAAAGUUCACC